rnacentral:rRNA from 1 species
UACGUAGGGUGCGAGCGUUGUCCGGAAUUAUUGGGCGUAAAGAGCUUGUAGGUGGUUUGUCGCGUCUGCUGUGAAAAUCCGAGGCUCAACCUCGGACUUGCAGUGGGUACGGGCAGACUAGAGUAUGGCAGGGGAGACUGGAAUUCCUGGUGUAGCGGUGAAAUGCGCAGAUAUCAGGAGGAACACCGGUGGCGAAGGCGGGUCUCUGGGCCAAAACUGACGCUGAGGAGCGAAAGCGUGGGGAGCGAACAGG